rnacentral:rRNA from 1 species
UACGUAGGAGACAACCGUUAUCCGGAGUUACUGGGCGUAAAGGGCGUGUAGGUGGUUUCGUAAGUCUGGCGUGAAAUUUUUCGGCUUAACCGGGAAAGGUCGUCGGAUACUGCGGAGCUAGAGGACGGUAGAGGCGUGUGGAAUUCCGGGUGUAGUGGUGAAAUGCGUAGAGAUCCGGAGGAACACCAGUGGCGAAGGCGACACGCUGGGCCGUACCUGACACUGAUGCGCGACAGCAUGGGGAGCAAACAGG